UUAAGAUCCAGCUACAGCAUCUCAAAGGGGUUGAGGCCUGGAUUUGGCAUAGCCAUUCCAACACUCUGAUUUAUUUAUUUAUUAUUAUUUAGCAAUUUAGAUGUUGAUUUGCUGGUGUGAUUGGGGUAAUGGUCCUGCUGAAUGACCCAAUUUUGGCCCAGCUUAAACUGCUGUACAGAUUGCCUCACGUUUGUCUCAAGAAUAAGAAUACUGGUAUAAAGUAGAAUUCAUUGUUGUCUCAAUGACUGCAAGUUUCCUAGGUCAAAAGCCACCAUGCUUGCUAGUUGGUAUGGGGUGUUUGUGGUGAUACACAGUGUUUGGCUUUCACCAAACAUGACGCUGUGCAUGAUGACCAAUCAUCUCCACCUGUUUAUAAAAUACAGUUAAUUAUCUAAAACCACUCAAAACAAACUGCUAGAAUGUACGCUGGAUAAAUGUAUGUUGUAUGCUGUCUGUGACUGUAUGUUGUCGAUUCUCAAUCGCCAGUUAUGAGGUUAUUCAUUUUGAAUGCCUUCCUGCCCCACCAAAAUCUAUGGUCAUGCGAUACAGUUAAAUAAAUAAAAUAAAUUUAACUAAAUAAAUAAAUAAUACAAUAUAUUGGAUAAAAUAAAGAGGUCAUAUAAAAAGAGUUUGAUGAAUAAUUUUCAGUUCAUGCCUUUCCAAAUUAUGUACAGUUUUAUAUCAAUCUUGACACAGGAGAAGUGUUUUUUGACUUUGCAUCUGUUUUUCAGGCUUUACACUUCAGUUCUGUCUUGAUGAUGAAGUAAUUGGGCAGUUUUCCAUAUCACAGCCUGAUUCUCAUGCGUAACUGUGGUUUUUCACGCCUAUAUAACGGUGGGGGAG
ensembl:lncRNA